GGAGAUAUGGACGACAGUAAUUUAGACUCUUGGUUUUGCUGAGAAGGGAGAAGUAAACAACUACAGCUGCUCACACACUUUGUAACUUUCACUGUUUCAGUAGCCUACAUUAAUAUAGUUAUUCACAGCCAUGACUCUCGCACUUUACUUACACAGCGAGGUAUUCAGCUCCUUCUUAUUUUAUGCAACUCUGCUACUACUCAAGAUGUACGCAGUGGCAAUCCUAACCCAACAACUCCAUUUGCGCAGAAAGGCUUUCGCUAAUCCGGAGGAUUCACCACGUCACGGGGGGAUGAAAUUCUGCCUCCAGGAAGCUGAUGUGGAGCGCUACUGGUGCCGGGAAAAAUCUGUUAAUUGCCCCUGAAGAGUACUAUUUCUGAGAAAGUUGAUCCACCUAUAGGUUCAUCACAAUGAUAUGGAGUGUAUCUACCCUUUCCUAUUCAUCGGGACCCUGUACUGCAUGCUUGACGACAGCCCAUCCAUCGCCAGGCUUCAAGGUCGUGGUCAACGUCGCCUCCUACUGGUGAAGAACACGCGGGAACACAAUCGUGGUUUCAAAAAGUUCAGUUCAUGGCGGUCCUUUUUGGGCUGCCUGGUUUUGCUCUGCUGUAGUUUUAAGAUGGAGAGAGUCUGGAACUAGCAAGCUGAUUUCAAGUGUACUCCAGGAGACAGCAGGCAGGGCAGGCUGUCCCGCUGAAGUCAAUUUUCAAGACUUUUGAAUUAAACUUCCAUUGGUAGAUUGAUUCUACAGGGUGGUCAUAUACAUAUCAAUAGUAUCACAAAGGGACAUAAUGCAUAUCAUAUCAUAUGACAUCGCAUCAUCAGAUAAACAGUAUGCUGCUGUUUUAGGACAGCUGUUGCUACUGUGUACAAAUUGUGAAGUUACCAAUGCUGUCAUCGGCUAGCGGCUGAUUUUAAUGUACUGAAUUCAGCCCACUUAAAAUGUCUCUGUUUAGAUUCAUUUCUAUUCUAUAUUCAUGUCUAUUAAUGCAUUACUGUGUUUUGUACAUAUGAAUAAUGUUUGACUGUGCAUUUAAAUAAAUCAAUGUUUUUGCUAAGUUGCUUGAUUUGUCGUUUUUGCUGCAUUUUACAAAUUUGUGCAGAAAAUUGUAAAAUAACUGAUUUCCGCAAACGAUUUGCUCACCUUCUGCACAGGAAAGCAGCUUCUACUUCUUCAGU